AGCGAACGCUGGCGGCAGGCCUAACACAUGCAAGUCGAGCGAAGCCUUCGGGCUUAGCGGCGGACGGGUGAGUAACGCGUGGGAACGUGCCCUUUGCUACGGAAUAGCCCCGGGAAACUGGGAGUAAUACCGUAUGUGCCCUUCGGGGGAAAGAUUUAUCGGCAAAGGAUCGGCCCGCGUUGGAUUAGGUAGUUGGUGGGGUAAUGGCCUACCAAGCCGACGAUCCAUAGCUGGUUUGAGAGGAUGAUCAGCCACACUGGGACUGAGACACGGCCCAGACUCCUACGGGAGGCAGCAGUGGGGAAUCUUAGACAAUGGGGGAAACCCUGAUCUAGCCAUGCCGCGUGAUCGAUGAAGGCCUUAGGGUUGUAAAGAUCUUUCAGUGGGGAAGAUAAUGACUGUACCCACAGAAGAAGCCCCGGCUAACUCCGUGCCAGCCGCCGCCGUAAAAC
rnacentral:rRNA from 1 species